UACGUAGGUGACCAGCGUUGUCCGGAUUUACUGGGCGUAAAGAGCGCGCAGGCGGUCGUUCAAGUCGAGUGUGAAAGCCCCCGGCUCAACUGGGGAGGGUCAUUCGAUACUGAUCGACUCGAAGGCAGGAGAGGGAAGUGGAAUUCCCGGUGUAGUGGUGAAAUGCGUAGAUAUCGGGAGGAACACCAGUGGCGAAGGCGACUCCUGGCCUGUUCUUGACGCUGAGGCGCGAAAGCUAGGGGAG
rnacentral:rRNA from 1 species